GAGAGGGACACAGAGAAAGAUUUGUAAAGGGAGUAUUCUCCAGUUCCUCUCUGCGCUCGCUCCUGAAGUUUUGGCAACCGUAUAUUUUCUAGAUAAUUGUUAGGGUUUAUUAAAAGGGGAAUCUAUACAAGAAAACAUAAAACACAUUGGGAGGAGUGUGUAUGAGGAUUGAGAUACAUUGAAGGACAGAAAUAAAUGAGAAAAUAACAAAAGAGCAGACGAUGUCAAAGAGAGAGCUGCCCGGGAUAAUGCCUGCGAAAAGAAGAGCAUGAUGACAUCACAGAGAGCAGCCCAGGAUAAUGCCUGAGAAAAGAAGAGCUUGAUGACGUCACGGAGAGAGCUGUCCGGGAUAAUGCCUGAGAAAAGAAGAGCAUGAUGACAGUUCUUGCCUGCAGCACUUGUUUAUCUGACAUACUGUAUGUGUCUAUGUCUCUCUCUGGUGGACAUACAGAGGAGGAAGGGGGGGAGACACUUUUUGGCACAGUGACACUGGAUUAUUUUGGUGACUUAAAUUUUUCUUGGCAUGAAGUCCCACGGAACUCUGUCAUUGUAUUUAUUUUACUACUGCCGUCUGUUCCCAGAAGUUUUCCUCACCCUCAGUGUUGCUUCAAUUCAAAACAAAGACACAGGCAGGUGCAGAACAGCUACAGACGUCUGUAAUGACUACCGAAAAUGGGAAUCGUGAGGCAUGUACUACCUGGGACUGAUGCCAACUGCUGACAAAAGGCUUCACUGCACGCUCUGCAGUCUUUAACUCCUCCUCUUCUUCUCCCCAAAUGCAGCGGAGCUCUCCAGCAUUGACUUGUUUUGAUAUAAUAAGUCUGGCAAAGCUUUUUGGGGUGCAAGAACCGAUCUGGACCAAAGUGGACAGGGAGAUAGGAGGGCAGGGAGAGAGGAGGGCAGCGAGAGAAGAGGGCGGAGAGAGAGAAGGGCAGGGAGAGAGGAGGGCAGGGAGAGAGGAGGGCAUGGCAGAGACUGCUCUCAAGCCCCAACCCCUGUUCGAGUGGUGUUGCUCGCCAGCACGCCGCUCAGCCUUUCCCUCAUUCUGCAGGGGAAAGAGAGGGAUGUGGAAACGCGCUCUCUUUUCUUCCCACCCUUUUUUCUCCACCAACAUGGCCUGUUCCCCUCGGGUCAUGUCUGCCGAGAUCCCUGCUCUGUCCUUUACAAAAUCUACCUCCAGUUUCCCAGUAGAAGUCCUGACCUCCUCUCCGGGUUGAUGAUAAACAGAGCACCUGUCCUUGAGACUGAGGUAGUAGAUUGAAUAGUUGUGGGGUAUAUGUCCUCCCUCUGACAUAACUAUACAAUCUACUGUCUUUCCUAAGGAGACAGACCAGUCAGCAAUACCCCUGAAGCCAGACCAUUUUCCCCUGGCUGUCCCAUCCAUCUCCCCAGCCUGCAGCCUGUCUGUGUUCUGUGGGGAAGUUAAAAAUUAGCAUAUCACAUCCAUUCACUGAAUGUUCCAGGACAACAUGAGGAUGUGCAACAUUUCCUCUGUUAGACCACCCAAUACUUUAUUUGGUUUAAAGCGAUUGGGGCCUAUUGUGAUAUGGCCCUAUUGUGUUUGAGUGAAAGUGUGCUUUAGGGUGAGUGUGUUUGUGUUGUCGCCUCUCGCUGUAUGUGUUUGAAUGACAUUCCCCCCUCAUCCGUCAGUCUUUUAGGUGAGUGUGUCCUGGCGAGGUGAGGUAGUAGGUUGUAUAGUUUGUGAAGGGAUAGAAUCCUAUUCAGGUGAUAACUAUACAGUCUAUUGCCUUCCUUGAGAGGAACAAUGACCGUCUGCAGCGAUGAGGAACUCCACAGAAAGCUGCUUGUUGAAUUCCUCUGUGCAUUGGAUGCAAUCUUACUGUGGUAAAGUGACAGAGGGAGCACUGGUGUAUUUAUUAUAGUUUGCUAGCGUCACCUAGUGGCGAAGGAGCAGCAGGACUCCAGAGACAUUCCACCUGAAGGUUCCCGUAGGCAGGGGUGGAAAGAGAACUGAAAUAUCCUACUCAAGUAGGAGUACUGUUACUUUCAGCAAUGCAAAAUAAAGUGCAUAAAGAAUAAAGUUGGCAGACUUCAAUAUACUUCA